UCCAUUCAGUUAUACCUGCAGGUGUUUUGAGACCACCAAUUUUUCACAAAAACUUUCCAAGGUCAAUGAAUUACGGCGCCAUUGGUUUUCUGAUGGGUCAUGAGAUGGUGCAUGGUUUUGACAGUGAUGGCAGUAGGUAUGACAAGGAAGGACACCUGGCCAACUGGUGGACCAAUUCUUCUAGAGACAAUUUAAUCGAUAAAGUGCAAUGCCUCAAUGACGAGUUUAGUCAUUUCUGGAUCAAAGAGAUGA
rnacentral:sRNA from 1 species